rnacentral:misc_RNA from 1 species
GAUGAAGAACGUAGCGAAAUGCGAUAAGUAAUGUGAAUUGCAGAAUUCAGUGAAUCAUCGAAUCUUUGAACGCACAUUGCGCCCGCCAGCAUUCUGGCGGGCAUGCCUGUUCGAGCGUCAUUUCAACCCUCGAGCCCCCCCGGGGGCCUCGGUGUUGGGGGACGGCACACCAGCCGCCCCCGAAAUGCAGUGGCGACCCCGCCGCAGCCUCCCCUGCGUAGUAGCACACACCUCGCACCGGAGCGCGGAGGCGGUCACGCCGUAAAACGCCCAACUUUCUUAGAGUUGACCUCGGAUCAGGUAGGAAUACCCGCUGAACUUAACCAUAUCAAUAAGCGGAGGA